rnacentral:rRNA from 1 species
GUACAGGAUAGGUAGGAGCCUAUGAAAUCGGGACGCUAGUUUCGGUGGAGGCGUUGUUGGGAUACUACCCUUGUGUUAUGGCUACUCUAACCUAGAUAGGCUAUCCCUAUCGGAGACAGUGUCUGACGGGCAGUUUGACUGGGGCGGUCGCCUCCUAAAAGGUAACGGAGGCGCCCAAAGGUUCCCUCAGAAUGGUUGGAAAUCAUUCGCAGAGUGUAAAGGUAUAAGGGAGCUUGACUGCGAGAGCUACAACUCGAGCAGGGACGAAAGUCGGGCCUA